rnacentral:rRNA from 1 species
AUUGAACGCUGGCGGCAGGCCUAACACAUGCAAGUCGAACGAGUGGCGGACGGGUGAGUAAUUUCUUGGCACCUGCCUAAUGGAGGGGUCUAACUACUGUAAACGGUAGCUAAUACCGCAUACCAUCGGAUGUGCCCAGAUGGGAUUAGCUAGUAGGUGGGGUAACGGCUCACCGAGGCGUCGAUCCCUAGCUGGUCUGAGAGGCUGACCAGCCACACUGGAACUGAGACACGGUCCAGACUCCUACGGGAGGCAGCAGUGGGGAAUAUUGCACAAUGGGCGAAAGCCUGAUGCAGCCAUGCCGCGUGUAUGAAGAAGGCCUUCGGGUUGUAAAGUACUGUCAGCGGGGAGGCGUUACCCGCAGAAGAAGCACCGGCUAACUCCGUGCCAGCAGCCGCGGUAAUAC